rnacentral:rRNA from 1 species
AACGUUACCAGGUCUUGACAUCCUCUGACAACCCUAGAGAUAGGGCUUCUCCUUCGGGAGCAGAGUGACAGGUGGUGCAUGGUUGUCGUCAGCUCGUGUCGUGAGAUGUUGGGUUAAGUCCCGCAACGAGCGCAACCCUUGAUCUUAGUUGCCAUCAUUUAGUUGGGCACUCUAAGGUGACUGCCGGUGACAAACCGGAGGAAGGUGGGGAUGACGUCAAAUCAUCAUGCCCCUUAUGACCUGGGCUACACACGUGCUACAAUGGACGGUACAAAGAGCUGCAAGACCGCGAGGUGGAGCUAAUCUCAUAAAACCGUUCUCAGUUCGGAUUGUAGGCUGCAACUCGCCUACAUGAAGCUGGAA